AUUGAACGCUGGCGGCAGGCCUAACACAUGCAAGUCGAGCGGUAGCACAGAGAGCUUGCUCUCGGGUGACGAGCGGCGGACGGGUGAGUAAUGUCUGGGAAACUGCCUGAUGGAGGGGGAUAACUACUGGAAACGGUAGCUAAUACCGCAUAAUGUCGCAAGACCAAAGUGGGGGACCUUCGGGCCUCAUGCCAUCAGAUGUGCCCAGAUGGGAUUAGCUAGUAGGUGGGGUAACGGCUCACCUAGGCGACGAUCCCUAGCUGGUCUGAGAGGAUGACCAGCCACACUGGAACGGAGACACGGUCCAGACCCCUACGGGAGGCAGCAGUGGGGAAUAUUGCACAAUGGGCGCAAGCCUGAUGCAGCCAUGCCGCGUGUAUGAAGAAGGCCUUCGGGUUGUAAAGUACUUUCAGCGGGGAGGAAGGCGAUAAGGUUAAUAACCUUGUCGAUUGACGUUACCCGCAGAAGAAGCACCGGCUAACUCCGUGCCAGCAGCCGCCGUAA
rnacentral:rRNA from 1 species